rnacentral:rRNA from 1 species
GACGAACGCUGGCGGCGUGCCUAAUACAUGCAAGUCGAACGCAGUGGGGACGGGUGAGUAACACGUGGGUAACCUCCCAUCAGAGGGGAUAACACUUGGAAACAGGUGCUAAACCGAUACUGAUGGAUGGACCCGCGGUGCAUUAGCUAGUUGGUGAGGUAACGGCCCACACAGGCCACGAUGCAUAGCGGACCGGAGAGGGUGAUCGGCCACACUGUGACUGAGACACGGGCCAGACGCUGACGUGAGGGAGCAGUGGGGAAUAUUGGGCAAUGGACGAAAGUCUGACCGAGCAACGCCGCGUGAGUGAAGAAGGUUUUCGGAUCGUAAAUCUCGGUUGUUUGGGAAGCGGUAUCUAACCAGAAAGCCACGGCUAACUACGUGCCAGCAGCCGCGGUAAUAC